rnacentral:lncRNA from 10 species
GUGGCAUUUGCUUCUCCUUUGGGACUUCUGUGGCAGGGUGUGGAACCAAAUCAGAUUGGUUGCAUAUCUGUUUCUCUUCCUGAAAAUACAAUUCAAAUACCUUCAUAGUCUGUGACAGCAACUUAUAACCAACAGACAAUGGUAUUAUUUUUAUUUAUUGAUGGCACUCCCCCAUAGCCAGAACUUCUACUGAGUCAUUCAUCGUGUAUUCCAGGAAUACUUUCCAAAUGGAGUAGUGAGGCACUUCCAAUAACAGUUAUGUAAUCUGUUAACAGUGGCUCAAAAUGACAUGUGAAGGAAUGAUGUACUUCUUUUUUCAGACUCACAGAUCUCAUAUGUUAAUUCAGUCAACAAGUACUUAGGGCUUAUCACAUGCCAGGCACAGGUAAUAUGACAAUAAUGAAAACAAAAACCCUUGCUGUCAUAGAAUUCGGUUUCUAGUGGGAAGAGACAUACAUUAACAAAUCAUAUAUAAGUAAAACAUUAAUUAUGGUGAUAACAGAAAAAGAAAGCAGGGGAGAGGGAUAGUGUCUUAGUUCAGGUUGCUGUAACAAGAGUACCAUAGACAGGGUGGCUUAAACAACAAACAUUUCUUUCUCACAGAUCUAGUGGCUGGGAAGUCUAAGACCAGGGUGCCAGCAUGAAGAAGUUCUGGUGAAGGCUUACAUUCUGGUUUCCUCACAGUGAGGGCUCUUCACGCCCUUAUAAAUGCACUAAUUCUAUUACCCACAUGACCUCAUCUAAAACUAACUCACAAAGGCCAAACCUCCUAUGUUGAGAUUAAGGCUUCAACAUAGGAAUUUUGGGGGGACAAAAACAUUCAGUCUCUAGCAGAUAGGGGCCACUGUGGGAGGGGAUUACAAUCUUAAAUAGGGUUGUCAGGGAAGGCUUCAUGAGGGCAAAGACCUGAGGAGGCAUGGAAAUGAUCCACGCAGAUGCAUGUCUGGGGAAGAGCAUUCCAGGCAGAGGCAGUGGGAAUGGACCCUCAGGUAAGAGCAUGUUUAGCAAGUUCAGAGAAAAGCCUCUUAGGUCAGGUCUGGAGCGAGAGUGGAAAAUGUAACAGGACAGAUCAUGUAAAGACUUGUAGACCACAGUUAGAGGCUUGGACAAUAACUCUGAGGAUGACAUGAAGGUAUUGGGAGGGGGUGUUGAGCAGAGGAGUGAUAUGAUCUGGUUUAUAUUUUAGAUUAUUCUGACUGCUAUGUUGAAAAUAGGGUUGAGAGCAGAGGGGAAGGGCAGCACACCAGUUAAGACCACUUCCCAAAAAUCCAGAUGAUGAUGGGCUUGAACCAGGAGAGUUGCUAUAGGGAUGUGAAGCAAUCAAAUUCUAGAUAUUUGGGACCUGCUGACAGGUACAUAAUGGUGUAUGAGAGAAAAGGCAGUGUGAGAAUGACUCUGAAGUCUGUGGCCUGAGCAAAACAGAAACCUGGAGUUGCCAAUAGCUGAGAUAAAGUUUCUGGUUAAAGAUCAAGAGCUCAGUUUUGGACAAGAGGGGUGUGAGAUUUCUAAUAGACAUUCAGGUGGAGGUGUGGGGAACACACCUGGAUGUGAUGAGCCUGGAAUUCAAAUUCACAUGUGUGAAUUUGAAAAAAGAUUCAGAAAAGAGGUGUGGACUGGAGGAGCUAUCCACACACAGAUAGCAUUUGAAGCCACAAGACUGGGGGUGAUGACGCAGGGAGUAAGUAUAAAUAGAAAAGAGAAGUGGUCCAAGGACUCAGUCCUUACAUCAGAGGUCAAAGAGACAAGAUGGAGACUAGGAGAUAUGAAGGCUUGUGCAGUGAGUGUUUCGGAGAAACGAAGAAACUUCCCAGAAGAAAGGAGAGGUCAACUGCUAACAAGUCAAGUGAAAUGAGAACUGGGAAAUGAGUUGACAAGAGCAAUUUGGCUGGCGUGAUCAGAGAAUGUUUAAGAGAUAAUGUGAGGGAAGAAAAUGGAGGCAGGAAGUAUGAACUACUCUUUUGAGUCAUAUUGUAAAGGAAAAAAAUGGGGUGAUUUUACUCUUUUUUUUUUUUAAAGAUAGGAAAAAAAAGUAUAUUUAUAUGCUGAGGAGAAGAAUCCAGUUGAAGGGGAAUACUGUGGCUUCAGGAGACAGGAAAACUGCCUAAGCCACAUCCUUCAGCAAUAAAAGGAAAGGUCAUUGGCUAAGAAUGAAGAUGGACGCGCAGGUGCUGGGAGUCAUCGAAGAGAAUGAAAGAAUGAAUAAAAUAGAGAAAAAUACAAUGCUAUUAUAUAAACCUAUACAUUUAAAUUACUUUCCUCUUCAAAUUAGACCCCCUGGAAGGCAAAUCUCUGUCAUGUUAAGUUUUAGGAAAAGUCAUAAUCUACUUGGAGCUAAGUAUGAAGAAUAAGGUAUAUGAUUUAAACCACAUAAUUCUAUUUUUGCUUAAACCGGGGAAGCCUUUAAGGUAACGUAGAGUGUACCCAUUAAAAAAGAUAAAAAUGUCAGCUUCCCCUUCCCUUUAAAUAUAGUAAGGCUCAAAGGUAAUUGAUGUUCAUAACCCUAAGGUACUAUAACAGUCUGAAGCAAAAUAUUAAAUGUCUUCUGUAGUAUUUUAGUUAACUUUUAAUUUUAUUGGUAAUUUAUGUGUAGUUAACCACAUACUUGUGCCUCAACUAUUUCACAUAAAUGUGAGAUGUCUUAGGCCUCUUUGAACUCUGCAUGGAAAAGAAUGCUGAGGAGGUAUGUCUGUUUAAGCUGCCACUGCCUGCCUCUCAUAAAUAAUAUCUCACAUUGCAUAAUAGCCCAGAUAAACUGCAGAUCGCUUAGAGCCUGAUAAAUGAGAGGAAACUGUACAGUUUGUUUUCCAAAUUGCCCUUGGACAGCUAAUUCACAAUUUACUAUUUUAUAGCUGUAAGAUUUUAAAAAUAUAAAAUAACAUAGCUGUAAAUACAGAUUAUCAGAAGAUAGUCUGUAAAAAUGUAAAUAUAAUAUAGCUGUAAAUAUACACUAUCGGAAGUACCAAAUCUAGUUUUAGUAGGUAGAGGCAUCAAGUAAAAUGGAAAUGAAAGAUGUUUCAAGGAAAACUCCAGGACAUCUGUGGCAGUACUAAAGAAACCUUCCUUCUCAGGUUCCCAGCAUGCUAUUUUAUUGAU